UGUUGGGUAGGGGAGCGUUCUGUAAGCCUGUGAAGGUGUGUCGUGAGGCAUGCUGGAGGUAUCAGAAGUGCGAAUGCUGACAUAAGUAACGAUAAAGCGGGUGAAAAGCCCGCUCGCCGGAAGACCAAGGGUUCCUGUCCAACGUUAAUCGGGGCAGGGUGAGUCGACCCCUAAGGCGAGGCCGAAAGGCGUAGUCGAUGGGAAACGGGUUAAUAUUCCCGUACUUGGUGUUACUGCGAAGGGGGGACGGAGAAGGCUAUGUUGGCCGGGCGACGGUUGUCCCGGUUUAAGCGUGUAGGUGUGUGUUCCAGGUAAAUCCGGUUCACUUUAACACUGAGGCGUGACGACGAGGCACUACGGUGCUGAAGCAACAAAUGCCCUGCUUCCAGGAAAAGCCUCUAAGCAUCAGGUAACAUCAAAUCGUACCCCAAACCGACACAGGUGGUCAGGUAGAGAAUACCAAGGCGCUUGAGAGAACUCGGGUGAAGGAACUAGGCAAAAUGGUGCCGUAACUUCGGGAGAAGGCACGCUGACACGUAGGUGAAGUGAUUUACUCAUGGAGCUGAAGUCAGUCGAAGAUACCAGCUGGCUGCAACUGUUUAUUAAAAACACAGCACUGUGCAAACACGAAAGUGGACGUAUACGGUGUGACGCCUGCCCGGUGCCGGAAGGUUAAUUGAUGGGGUCAGCGCAAGCGAAGCUCCUGAUCGAAGCCCCGGUAAACGGCGGCCGUAACUAUAACGGUCCUAAGGUAGCGAAAUUCCUUGUCGGGUAAGUUCCGACCUGCACGAAUGGCGUAAUGAUGGCCAGGCUGUCUCCACCCGAGACUCAGUGAAAUUGAACUCGCUGUGAAGAUGCAGUGUACCCGCGGCAAGACGGAAAGACCCCGUGAACCUUUACUAUAGCUUGACACUGAACAUUGAGCCUUGAUGUGUAGGAUAGGUGGGAGGCUUUGAAGUGUGGACGCCAGUCUGCAUGGAGCCGACCUUGAAAUACCACCCUUUAAUGUUUGAUGUUCUAACGUGGACCCGUGAUCCGGGUUGCGGACAGUGUCUGGUGGGUAGUUUGACUGGGGCGGUCUCCUCCUAAAGAGUAACGGAGGAGCACGAAGGUUGGCUAAUCCUGGUCGGACAUCAGGAGGUUAGUGCAAUGGCAUAAGCCAGCUUGACUGCGAGCGUGACGGCGCGAGCAGGUGCGAAAGCAGGUCAUAGUGAUCCGGUGGUUCUGAAUGGAAGGGCCAUCGCUCAACGGAUAAAAGGUACUCCGGGGAUAACAGGCUGAUACCGCCCAAGAGUUCAUAUCGACGGCGGUGUUUGGCACCUCGAUGUCGGCUCAUCACAUCCUGGGGCUGAAGUAGGUCCCAAGGGUAUGGCUGUUCGCCAUUUAAAGUGGUACGCGAGCUGGGUUUAGAACGUCGUGAGACAGUUCGGUCCCUAUCUGCCGUGGGCGCUGGAGAACUGAGGGGGGCUGCUCCUAGUACGAGAGGACCGGAGUGGACGCAUCACUGGUGUUCGGGUUGUCAUGCCAAUGGCACUGCCCGGUAGCUAAAUGCGGAAGAGAUAAGUGCUGAAAGCAUCUAAGCACGAAACUUGCCCCGAGAUGAGUUCUCCCUGAGACUUAGAGUCUCCUGAAGGAACGUUGAAGACGACGACGUUGAUAGGCCGGGUGUGUAAGCGCAGCGAUGCGUUGAGCUAACCGGUACUAAUGAACCGUGAGGCUUAACCUUACAACGCCGAAG
rnacentral:rRNA from 1 species